UACGUAGGUGGCAAGCGUUAUCCGGAAUUAUUUGGCGUAAAGCGCGCGUAGGCGGUCUCUUAAGUCUGAUGUGAAAGCCCACGGCUCAACCGUGGAGGGCCAUUGGAAACUGGAGGACUUGAGUGCAGAAGAGGAGAGCGGAAUUCCACGUGUAGCGGUGAAAUGCGUAGAGAUAUGGAGGAACACCAGUGGCGAAGGCGGCUCUCUGGUCUGCAACUGACGCUGAGGUGCGAAAGCGUGGGGAUCAAACAGG
rnacentral:misc_RNA from 1 species